rnacentral:rRNA from 1 species
UACGGGGGGGGCAAGCGUUGUUCGGAAUUACUGGGCGUAAAGGGCUCGUAGGCGGCCAACUAAGUCAGACGUGAAAUCCCUCGGCUUAACCGGGGAACUGCGUCUGAUACUGGAUGGCUUGAAUCCGGGAGAGGGAUGCGGAAUUCCAGGUGUAGCGGUGAAAUGCGUAGAUAUCUGGAGGAACAUCGGUGGCGAAGGCGGCAUCCUGGACCGGCAUUGACGCUGAGGAGCGAAAGCCAGGGGAGCAAACGGG